UGAGUACGAGACGCUACGGCGUUGAAGCAGUGUAUGUCAGACUUCCAAGAAAAGCUCGCAAUGUCAUAAACAAAUAAUGCCUGUACCAUAACCGACACAGGUGGGUAGGUAGAGUAUACUAAGGGGCGCGAGAUAACUCUCUCUAAGGAACUCGGCAAAAUGACUCCGUAACUUCGGGAGAAGGAGUGCCUUAUUUUUAUAAGGUUGCAAUAACAAGAUCCAAGCAACUGUUUACCAAAAACACAGGUCUCCGCUAAGUCGUAAGACGAUGUAUGGGGGCUGACGCCUGCCCAGUGCCAGAAGGUUAAAGAAGUUGGUUAGCAAUAGCGAAGCUGAUAACUGAAGCCCUGGUGAACGGCGGCCGUAACGAUAACGGUCCUAAGGUAGCGAAAUUCCUUGUCGGGUAAGUUCCGACCCGCACGAAAGGCGUAAUGAUUUGGAUGCUGUCUCGGAGAGGGGCUCGGUGAAAUAGACUUGUCUGUGAAGAUGCGGACUACCUGCACCAGGACAGAAAGACCCUAUGAAGCUUUACUGUAACUUGAAAUUGAAAUUGGACUUUACUUGCGCAGUAUAGGUGGGAGGCGUUGAUUUUAUUCUUGCGGGAAUUUAGGAGCCAUCAGUGAGAUACCACUCUGGUAAUGUUAGAUUUCUAACUUUGUAUCAUAAUCUGGUCAAAGAACAGUUUCAGGCGGGCAGUUUGACUGGGGCGGUCGCCUCCCAAACGGUAACGGAGGCGUACAAAGGUUUCCUCUGAACGUGUAGAAAUCGUAUCUAGAGUGUAAAGGCAUAAGGAAGCUUGACUGUGAGACCUACAAGUCGAGCAGGGACGAAAGUCGGUCUUAGUGAUCUGACGGUGCUGAGUGGAAAGGCCGUCACUCAACGGAUAAAAGUUACUCUAGGAUAACAGGCUGAUCUCCCCCAAGAGUUCACAUCGACGGGGAGGUUUGGCACCUCGAUGUCGGCUCAUCGCAUCCUGGGGCGGUAGUACGUCCCAAGGGUUGGGCUGUUCGCCCAUGAAAGCGGUACGCGAGCUGGGUUCAGAACGUCGUGAGACAGUUCGGUCCAUAUCCGGUGUAGGCGUUAGAAUAUUGAGAGGAUCCUUCUUUAGUACGAGAGGACCGAGAAGGACAUACCUCUGGUGUACCAGUUAUCGUGCCAACGGUAAACGCUGGGUAGCUAUGUAUGGAAAGGAUAACCGCUGAAAGCAUCUAAGUGGGAAGCCUACCUCAAGAUAAG
rnacentral:rRNA from 1 species